rnacentral:tRNA from 1 species
AAAGGGAGACCUAAUUCCAGUAGGAGACGAAAAAAAGUAGUCCCUACCAAGAAUCAAUCCCAAAAGGUCGGAGCGAGGCAAAAUUGGCUUUCAAACUAGGUUCUGGGUUCACACAAGACCUGAAUCAGGAACAAGGGCUAUUAGCUCAGGUGGUUAGAGCGCACCCCUGAUAAGGGUGAGGUCCCUGGUUCGAGUCCAGGAUGGCCCACCUGCACAGGUGGAAGAAAGAAAAGAAGCUCCGAAUCAGCACCUUAUCUUACUUAUAUAGUAAGAGAGAAUGCUGGCUCUGAGUACAGAGUCCAGAGGAACCUUGAAAACUGCAUAGAGCUAGGUGAAAAAGCCAAAAAAGAAGACCGCAAG